AGAGUUUGAUCAUGGCUACAGAACGAACGUUAGCGGCGCGCCUAACACAUGCAAGUCGAGCGAGAAGGAAGCAAUUCCUGUAAGCGGCGCACGGGUGAGUAACACGUAGGUAAUCUACCUCGAAGUGGUGGAUAACCUUCCGAAAGGAGGGCUAAUACAGCAUGAGACCACGGUUUCGAAAGAGAUUGAGGUCAAAGCGGGCCACUAUACAUAAGCUCGCGCUUCGAGAUGAGCCUGCGGCCCAUCAUGGUAGUUGGUAGGGUAAUGGCCUACCAAGCCGAAGACGGGUAGCUGGUCUGAGAGGAUGAUCAGCCACACUGGAACUGAGACACGGUCCAGACUCCUACGGGAGGCAGCAGUGGGGAAUCUUGCGCAAUGGGCGAAAGCCUGACGCAGCGACGCCGCGUGAGUGAUGAAGGCCUUCGGGUUGUAAAGCUCUGUGGAGGGGGACGAAUUCUUGACGGUACCUCCAAAGAAAGCACCGGCUAACUCCGUG
rnacentral:rRNA from 1 species